GAUGAACGCUGGCGGCGUGCUUAACACAUGCAAGUCGAACGGAAGGGCCCAAGCUUGCUUGGGUACUUGAGUGCCGAACGGGUGAGUAUAACGUGGGUGAUCUGCCCUGCACUUCCGGAUAUGCCUGGGAAACUGGGUCUAUUACCGGAUAGGAUAACUUCGACGUCGUUGUGGAGGAAAGUUUUUUCGGUUUGGGAUGAGCUAGGGGACUAUCAGCUCGUUGGUGGGGUAAUGGCCUACCAAGGCGUCGACGGGUAGCCGGCCGGAGAGGGGGUACGGCCACAAUGGGACUGGGAGACGGCCGAGGCACCUACGGGAGACAGGAGUAGGGAAUAUCGCACAAUGGGCGGAAGCCUGAUGAAGCGACGCGGCGUGUGAGACGACUUCUUUGGGGUGAUAAUCUGCUUUCGCAAAAGACGAAAUUAUGACGGUAUUUGGAGAAGAAGCACCGGCUAACUACGUG
rnacentral:rRNA from 1 species